rnacentral:antisense_RNA from 1 species
CUCCAUGCGGGUGGCUGUAUGUGGGCGUCUUCGACGCGCCAGACUUCUUCCUGGUAUGCCAACCCAUACAGUCGCCUGCGCCCCU